rnacentral:rRNA from 1 species
UACGAAGGGUGCAAACGUUGCUCGGAAUUAUUGGGCGUAAAGCGCACGUAGGCGGCUUAGCAAGUCGGAUGUGAAAUCCCUCGGCUUAACCGGGGAACUGCGUGUGAUACUGGAUGGCUUGAGUUUGGGAGAGGGAUGCGGAAUUCCAGGUGUAGCGGUGAAAUGCGUAGAUAUCUGGAGGAACACCGGUGGCGAAGGCGGCAUCCUGGACCAAUACUGACGCUGAGGAGCGAAAGCCAGGGGAGCAAACGGG